GACUAGCCUGACUGUGCCGGCUGUACAACAAUAAGAACGAGGGAGAAGAUGCAGAGAGGCGAACGGGGGCGGCGGAGGACGGCGUCGAGCGGUGGCGGACGACGGCGUCGACCGGCCGGACCGAGGCAGCGACGCACCGCGGUGGGGGCGGUGCGGCGGCGGAGGACGGCGGCGGUGGGGACCGGUGCGGCGUCGACGGACGGGGGUGGCGGAUGACGGCGUAGACUGGCCGGACCAGGGUUGAUUGCUGCUUGGCGCUUCCGUUCGUCCUGCUGCUUACCUUCUCUUGCUUGCGCACUCUGCCGCCAUGGACCCGGGGGGCUGAAGCUGCACCCUCCUCUCCUUGGCUCUGUUGCUCGGGGUCGUUCCUCGCCUCGCCGCCACUCGGUCCGCUCAGUCAUCACUCUCGCUCUCGUCGUCAUAGGGUCGUGCCUUUCUCUUUUGGUUUUCUUUGGUUAGACUUUCGCUUGUCAAAUCGCAUUCUUUGCCUUUGCAGGGUCUCUUGCUCACCAUCGGCCCUCCAGUCGCUGCGCUCCUCUCCACUCGGCGAUCGGUUUCGUGUCGCUGCGGCUUGAUCUGUGGAAGAGAAAGAUGAAGUAUUGGAUCAGUAACCAAUUCAAAGACACCAGUGGAUUAGUUGCACAUGCCAAUAUACUGAAGCUUGAGGUCUCUAUAGAAGAAAUUGCUGAGAAUGGGAAAAAAUGGAUGACUGAGGAGUGGCUUUCAAGAAAUAUAUUGAAGGAAAAUCUGAUCUUGCGGGAGAUACGAGUGUUGCCUUGAAUUUUGCCACCGAUGCUUUAGUGUGGAAAACUAUUAAAUUUCCACAUUAUAACUUCAAUGGCAAGAUGAAGAAGCAUAAUUCAGAUGACUGUACCGACACAAUGUAUUUAGCUGAAGUAAAGAUGAUAUUCAGGAGAAAAUACUAUUUUUGCUGUCCACUGGAACCACUUGAGAAUGAUAUUGAUUCUUUUCAAAGAAAUCAAAUAUUAGAACAUAUGUCAGUAUAUGAAGUUCUCAUGUAAUUUGCUGGGUUAUUUGUCUAUCAGAUCACUGCUAUAUGUGCAGCAACCAAGGAAUGGAUGACCUAAGGCAUCCAGCUACAGGUGGUUUUGAUAUGGCCUCACCUGGCACUGUGUUUCCUUGCAUGUAUUCCACUGACUGAGCUCUUGUGUACAUCAUCAGUAUAUAUAUGGACCAUGCCCAGGCCAAGUUGGGACAAAACGCCAAAUCUGAUUAGCAUUUCUGCAUUGUUAACACAAAAAGGAAGACUGCUUGCAACUGCAUCACUAUUACACUGCUCAAUCAGAUUUCUUUUAAAUUCUAGAGUUUGGAGUGUGUUGGCAUAUGUGUGUGUGACUAACGUAGUAACAUCGGUUAGAUUAUAAUAUCUGUAAGCGCUGCGGGAGCAACUGCAGGUCUGGUGGAUCUCCCUCGGCCUUCUCCUGUUAGCAUUAGAACAAUCUUAUAAAUUCUUUGAAAUCAAAAUUAAAUACUCAGAAAUUUGUGCCAGUUGUAUAUUCAUUUUUGUGUUGCUCCUUGACUGAGCACCACUGAACAAUUCGUUGUUUAUAAAUGGAAUACUAACAUUUUUGUUGUUUGCUUUGUAGGUUUCUGCAGCACUUCAUACUCUUGUCAUUUGUAUAUGGCACCAGCUCUUUACACUGUGAUUCCUCACUUUUGUUUGAGGCUUUUAGUAAUGCUAUUGUUUGGACCAAAGUUGCAAAGUUAAAUUAAUCCCACAGGAAAAAGUCUAUGUUGCCUUCCUCAUUCUUCAAAACUCGACCAACAAAAAAAAAUCAUGUCUACUUUAGCUUUCUCCUUUCUGGACCGCACCUGUCAGCCACUAUUCAGAUUAAUUUCUUUUUCCAGAAAAUAUUUAUUUCAUUUCCAAUAUUCCAGAGAAACGUUAUUCCUUUAUCCAGUAUAUCAUAGGUUCAUCUUAUCGUGGAAAAGCCAUAUCUUUUCAAACAUGGCUCCGAAAAUCUCUCCAAGAGUUAGAAUUUUUUUUCCUAAAAAUGAGACCUACCUAAUGGCACUAUUAUUGACUAAUGAUAUUAUUUCUAUUUUAUGGUUUUUGUUAGUUUUCUUUGUUCUGUGUGUUGUCAACGUCGACGGAAAUUGUUUCAAACGUGGAUUUUUUUAAGACCUCGAAGACAAAGCCUGAGUCAAGUUACCCUUGACUAUAUUACCACAUUUUAUAAAAUGUUUUGUUUGCAAAACUGUAUUGAUAGUGUGCAGGAUUAAUUUGACUUGACCUCGAUGGACGUAAUGGAGAAACGGACCACCCGAGCUUUUGCUCUGUAUGGCCUGGUUUUUGCUAUUAUCCUCUCCCCUCGUGCGAGCCAAAUCUCAAACACAUUACAGGGGUUUGGAAGUUAGCUCAUGUGGUACAUGACAAUAAGAGCACGAACUACAACAGAGGUGACAUAUGUCCUUGCCUUUCAAGGCACCUCUCAUCCUUGGGCCCCUUGAUGUUCAUGGACAGCAACGAGUGUAAACCUGUGAGUUGAUUCUAUCAUUUGCUCCCCCAGUCAUUAUUAUAUGAUGUUUUUAACACUAAAAACCUCAUAUAUUAAUUACUAGAGUACCAUUUUAGCCUAAGAUUUAGUAGCUGGAGCACCAUUUCAACCUAAGAUUUAGUAGUUGGUCCAAUGAAACAAUAAAACAAAUUGUUUUCGUACAUGGAAGCUUUAUAUAUAAUGGCUUAAGUACUAUAAGGCCACUAUAAAUGGAUGUUCCUAUUAUGAUGUCAGAUCCAUCAUCCUUUUUCCUCAUUUGCUUCUGUUUUUUAAGGACAGUAUAUUCUUUCCUGUUUGACUUUGCAUAUGAAAAACAAACUUUGUUGGUAGAGGUGAGCGCAUUUAGUUGUAAAUGCUCAUGUAGGAAAAAAAAAAUCUUAUAUAACACUUCCUCAUGUUUACCUAGAGAUUGUUUUAGGCAUGAGGAUGCACUGCUCCAUGGUAAAUAAUUGGAUGUGCAGUUCUAAUCUUGAAAUGUGUUUAGGAACAGAGUUUGUUUAACUUGGACUAUCAUGUGAAUCGGAGUUAUUUUGCUUAUGGGUUGUUACAAGAUGAGACGAUUUAUCACGUAGGAUGUUGUAGCCCUUGCUAAUUAAGUAGGCAAUCUGAUGGGUGUUUUACCAGAUGGUCUAAUUGUUCUUUCUGCUCGCGAUUGUAAAUUGACAAAUAGAGCUUGUUGCAGCAUUGUAUCUUUAUGUGGUUUAGUUUGGUAGUGUUAAUAGGUGUUGUUUCACACCGGUUAUGUAUUUAGGUUGGUAUCUGUUCGUGUUUUAGUAAAUAAUCUGGUACUCAGGUAAUGUUUCUUCAGGUUCAACAAGGUAUGUGAACUAUGUUAGGAGGGUUUCAGCAUUUCUAAGGUUUACGUAUUGUACUUGUAUUUUGGGUUAAUCAGAUCAAUACCAUUAUAAAUUUGCUAGUUUUGAAAUAUACCAUUACAAUUCGACUAAUUAUAAAUAUGCCAUUAUAAUUUUAGAACUAUUAGAAAUAUGCCACUCCAUACCCUUUCGUUGUAUUUUUUUAAAAAAAUUGGACCAUAUUGUCCAUCUGCUAUUUAGUACGCCCUUGGCAUCUGCAAGGGCAAUUUGGUCCAAAAAUAGCAUAUCUGAAAUGGUUCUAAAAUUAUAGUGGCAUCUUUACAAUUAGUCGAAUUAUAAUGAUAUAUUUCAAAACUGACAAAUAUAUAAUGGCAUGGAUGUAAUUAACCCUUGUAUUUUUGGUGGUUGUGCUUACUAAAAUAAAGAGGUGAUUUUGUGGUAUCAUGUGGUUAGCAAAAUUUCGCAAAAUCUUUUGGCUGCUGAGAUUAUCCCCUUCUGCACCCAGGUUAUAGUAUCUCAGUGUCAAGGAUCUAUCUAGACUGUUCUUAUUACUUGCCCUCGUGGUACCUUCAUUUUCAUUAGUUAUGAAGAAAUAUUUUAGGGUUGAUAUUCUUUUGUGUCGUUUUAUUGAUAUUAGUUGGUUUAUCCAUUCCUCACCAAAUUCAAUAUGAUAUGAUACAAAUAAGUAGGCAUAGAAUCUUUUUUCUUGAGUUAAAUAAUGUCAGAAAUAAAUCAGUUGAUUAUCACUAUCCAAUUUGUUAUGUGAUGUUUGCAGAGAGCUGGCCUACUUUGAUGUUCACAACUUUGUCCCAAUGCUUCUGGAAGAUAUUAAAUGGCUUCUUGGAUGUCAUCUCUUAAGGUUACCAGAGGUUCUACUAUAAGAUAGGUGUCCUGACCUUGCUGAUUAGUAGGUGUAAGUGCAUGCACACGUGAUUUGUGCAAUGCAUGAAGUUCUGCUAAAGCAAUGAAGAAAUGAUUUAUCAUUAGUAAGAAGGAAAUUACAAUAAACUAAACUUUGUAUGAAUGAAUAACCAAGUGCUACCUUGUAGCUUCUCAUUUUAAUUAUAUGAUGUUCAAAUUAAUUUUGUCUUCGUUAAAUUCACGGACACGAAAAAAAUUUA